rnacentral:lncRNA from 1 species
UGGACACAAGUAUGGGCUUGUUUAUGCUGGUAUUGGUUGGGUUAUUUGGAGGAACAAGGAGGAGUUGCCCCAAGACCUUAUCUUCCAUAUCAAUUACCUUGGAGCUCACCAACCCACCUUCACCCUCAAUUUCUCUAAAGGUCUUUCUCUUCAAACCAUGUCUAUUCCUUCCACACCUUCAUUACAUAAUCAUACCAUAUACUUACCUUCUCAUCUUCACUUUCAGGUUCUAGUCAGAUCAUUGCUCAAUAUUAUCAGCUGAUUCGUCUUGGCCAAGAGGUCAGCUCUUAUAUAUAGUUCAAUAUUUCAAUUAUAGUUUAUGCCCCUCCUCAAUUCUAUCAUGUUACCACAAUUCCCUUACCUUGUUAUUGGACUUUGCAGGGUUACCGAAGCAUAAUGGAGAAGUGCAGAGAAAAUGCAAAGGUGGUGAAAGAAAAUUUGGAGAAGAGUGGACGCUUUAACAUAGUUUCAAAAGACAAUGGUGUUCCUGUGGUGGCAUUUUCUCUGAAAGACCGAAGACAGUACGAUGAGUACAAGAUAUCAGAGAUGCUGCGGCGCCAUGGUUGGAUUGUUCCAGCCUAUCCUAUGCCACCUGCUGCUCAGCACAUAAAUGUACUCCGUGUGGUCAUAAGGGCUGAGUUUUCACGCACCCUUGCUCAACGCCUUGUUUUUGACAUACACAAUGUGCUGCAUGAGCUUGAAAAGGUGCAUGUUCCGAAAGUGAUGAACAACAUUACGGAAGAGAAGAAGGAUGUGGUUGAGAGCGGGGUUAAGAAAAGUGCGUUGGAUGCACAGAGGGAAAUCAUUGGUCAAGAGUCCAACAAGCGUCAGAAAAUCAUGGCUGUGUAGCUAGGGAACACUGUGUCACCAUGCUAAUUGAAUUAGAAGGCUUCACUAUUUGUUCUAACUCCAUCCAAAAUACACCUUAACUAUAGUUGCUUCAUUCUUUUCUUAAAAUUAUGUCAUUUAGCUUACUACCCAAUUAGUUUAUUUUCCUACAAAUUUAUGUGAAUUGAGAUACGUAGUUCACAUUAAUGUAUUUUUUCAAAGAUUCCACCACAUUGAUUUUGUUGUGAAAUCUCAGUUAAUGCAUUUGUAUGGUUUUCUACUCCCUACACUGUAAUACUCCUUGACGUAAAACUUCACACUAAAGGCUUUAUAUGUUCCUGAUUGUUGUACUAGAGAAUUGGUGUAACCAACAAAUUUAAUGUAACUUUCAUCCACGUAUGAAAGAACUCCAAUAAGUACAUUGGUAUAACUAUUACCAAUCCACAAUUUUUGUUUUUGAAUUAUAUAUUUGAUUUUCUUUACCAAAUUUUACUUCCUUCAUUUUUAAUUAUGCAUAACUUUGGUUCUUAAUUUUUUUUUUAUUUAAUUUUGAUCCCUUAAUUUUAAUUAUCCGUAUAAUUCUUUUCUUAAUAAAACAGAUGUUGUUUUUUAAAAAACUAAGAAUAAUAUGUCUAAAAAACUCCCUCAAAAAAUAAUUUUGUUAGUAUUAACGGGAAAAUCUUGAUUAAUAUUGAAAAAACAAAUUUGAGAAACUUUUCCUUCCAUUGAUAAAAAAUAAUCUCAAAAUCUGAUUAUUAUAAGAUGAAAAGUAGUUCUAUCAAAGUUGAUCAAGAAAACAUUUAUUAAUUGGUAAAAAAAAACUAUUGACAAAAAACAUAUUGAUCACAUUAGGCAAUAGGCAAGAAACAGAAUUCAUAACAUCGAUUAACCUAAUUGAUAUCAAUAACAAAAAAAUGAUGUGAAGUGGAUGAUGCCCCAACCUCAAGUGAAUGAGUGAUAUUUAGGUUGAGUUGAGGAAAUAACAUUAAGAAAAUAAAUAAAUUUGUUAGAGGCAAGAAUAUGAAGAUUACAUUGUGUGUUUGAAUACCCAGAUUUUACAAUGUGAUAUUUUACGAUUUUAUUUUACAUGUUAGUUUUUGUUUUAUCUACACUACAGAAAGGACUAGCUGAAAACUUAUAAGGUGCUAUGCUAGUGUUGACAUUUGAAAAAGUAAUCUAAAUAAUUAUUAAAUAUUGUAAUUAAAAAUUAUAAAAUAAAUAAAUUUACAUUUUUUUAAAAUAUUCUAAUUCAUUAUUCAAUAUUAAAAUUAAAAAGUUGUAAAAAUAUAUGAACUUUUAAAUAUAUUAACAAAUAAAAGUUGGAUGAAACAGUUGCAGGAAAAUUAUUAACUGUUAUAUGAAUUAUAUGUGGAGAAAAUAAUUAUAUAUUUAGGCAAUUUUGAAAAAAAGUUGUGUAAACUAAAUGAGAGAAUGUAUCUAAAUUUUUAAUAUUAUAGGGUUAUAGGAUUAUAUAUGUUGUUUUAAUUAUUUAAUAUUAUUUGUUAUUAUUAAGAGAUAAAUAAUUUAAAUAUUUUGAUUAUUUUAAGUUUUAAUUUAAUUUCUGAAUAAAGUACAUACAUUCUUGUACAUGUGAUGAGAAUAUAAAACUAGCUUAUCAGAAUAUUUGUAAAACAUAUUAAAAUACUGAGCACAGAUAUUACAAUUUCCACAAUUUCUCUAUUGAUGUUAGAGCUACAACUCAAAUUAUGUUGUGAAUCAUAAACCUUACAUUUCAAACUUUAAAUGGUUGCUGCAAAAAUCAAUUUUGGUGUUGAUUGCUAAGUUAUUUACAAUAAAAGAAAUGAAUUUAUUAUAUAAUAUUUGUGACUAACUAUUUUAUUUUAUUAAUAUAUAAAAAAAGAUUUGAAAAAGUUGGCAGGAAGAUACAAUAAAUAGGCGAGGUGUCCUAGGAACAAAAUAAAUAGUAGCAGUAGAUCCGCUAGUAAUAAGUAGUCACUAACAACACAAUAGUAAUAACUCAUUUGCUUUCCCUAGAAAUUACAGAAGGCUAAAGUUACAAACAUGCAAAGAAAAUCUGCAAUUAAUAAAUACUACUACCCCCCUCUUCAUUCACACAUCUAUUAAACUUUUAUGACCUGAUUGAAUUGUGGGAAGGAAUAAGUGGAUUAUAAAGGAUUAGAUGGGAUGUAUGAGAAUGUAAUAAAAAAUAAUAAAAACAGUAAAAAAAAUAUAAUAAGAAAAUAUAAAUAAAUUUAUAAAAAUUAAUAACAAUAAACACAUCAACAAAAUGUAAAUGUAUUUAUAACAAUUUAAAAUAGUAUUAUUAAAAUUAAAAAUAAUAAAUACAUAAAAAAGACAUAAAACGUAUUAAUAAAAAAUGUAAAAACAUUAAACACAUAAUAAUGUAAAAAAUAAAAACAAAUAAAAAUAUUAAAGUUAUAAAAUAAAAACUAAAUAGUAAACAUAAUAAUAAAAACUGUAAAAUCAACACAUAAUAAUGAAAUAAUUAAGAAAAGUAAAUACAUUUAGAAAAAUAAAAACUGUAAACAAUAAACAUAGAUAAAAGAAUAUAAUUACAUUUAUUAAAAAUAAAAAACAGUAAACUUAAUAAAAAAAAAUUUUAAAUAAAAAAAAAUUAAAAACUUACAUGAAGGAUGAAGGCUCUUCUAAGAAGAAGAAGAAAUUGGAGAAGAAGAAGAAAAAAGUCUAUGACGAACAAAACAAACCAAAGAAUCAUUGCUCCAAGAUGCAAUCUAAAAAAAAAAAAAUCAAUUUCAACACUUUUCUCACAUAGGGAGAAUUGAUUCUCCUACUACCUUUAAAAGGCAUAGAAUCAAUGUCUCGUUUUACCUUUAAAAGCCACAAAAUCGAUUAUGCACCAUUUGGAAAAAUCAAAAAUCGAUUUUGCACCAUUUGGAAAAAUCAAAAAUCGAUUUUGCACCAUUUGGAAAAAUCGAUUAUGCACCAUUUCGAAAAAUCGAAAAUCGAUUAUGCACCAAUUUACAAGGAUAGGAAAAUUGAUUCCGCACCAUUUGGAAAAAUCAAAAAUCGAUUCUCAACUAAUUUACAAAGAGACGAAAAUCGAUUAUGCACUUCCAAAAUUUGGAAAAUCAAUUCUGCUUCUUCAAACCAACCACCAUAAUCAUUUUAAAUAAUUUUGAAUCUAUACUGCUGUUAAAAAAAAUAAAACAAACCAGUUAGUUCGUUCCUCAAACCACCUUUCUGAUUCCUCAAAGUAUCAGCUCUCUCGUUCGUUUUGUUUUGGGCACAGGAGCGGAGCAAACCAUAGGGUAUCACAAGCUAAUUUUAUUUAUAGACAAAGUUCAGGGUUCAUAGGUAUAAACUUUUUUAUCAAGAUUCUUUUGCACCCACCACUUUAAAGAAGAAAAGAAAAUUCACAAAACUGUUGCACCAGGCACGGUAAUCAAGAAGAAGGAAACUGAAAACUCACUUAUGACCACAUUGUUUAAUAUUAGAAUUGAUGGAAGGGUAGCAACGUAAAUGUCUAUUUGCGCCUCUAGAAUCAGUGCAACUCUUCUCAAUUUUGCGAGAAGUGAGAAAACUACUGAACUCACUCGCUCGUUCGCACCCACGCUCUCACAUACCCCGAACCAAACAAAAGUUCUUCCCGCUCGCCCCUUCCUCCUCCGUUGUCACACCUAGAAGCAAGCAGGGUGUUAAUGUAAUGUAGAGUAGCUCCACAUAUGUAGUUUUUCUUUUCUUUUCUUUUGUAUAUAUAAUGCAUCUAGUGGAUAAUAAAAAGUAUUCAGUUUUCUACUUUACUUUUUCUCUCUCUUUCUCAUUCCUUUCUCACGAAAGUGCUAGUAGGGACACUACUUAAGCUUGUGAUGAUCUAAUCCUUUGCCAACAUUCAGUGUCAUCAUGUAUAUCAGAUUUCAGUAUGGUAUCAAAAGUGGUCCGGUGUUCCUUUCUUCUUUUCAUCUUGCAUUUUUUAUCGUUCUUGUUUCUAUUUUUCCUUUUCUUUUGUUGGUCUAUCAUGGCUACAAAAAAUAAUACCAAUUCAAAGAACAAAACCAGUUCAAAUGAUUCGUAGAAUCCAUCAAGUCCCUACUAUUUGCAUCCUGGAGAAAAUCCACAAAUGGUGCUAAUCAAUAUACAACUUGAUGGUGGAAAUCACCAUGCUUGGAGCUAUAAGUGACACCAGGUAUCAGAGCGAGGUUGUGGAGCCAUGGCAUCCUCCAAGGUUACUGGCCCAAGGCCGGUGUGUGGAUUCUUUUUUUUGGUAUAUAAGAGUUAGUCAAUACUUUUAUCUUUAUAUUAAUAUAACAGACUUUUUUCUUUCGGGUCUAGACACUUCGGUGAGUCUAUUGUCCCUCUUCUCUCUCCGCCAUGGACAUCUCUUUGCGAUUCACAGUGAAUGAAAAUAACAUUUCUUUUGAAGAAUAAACACAAGUUUGUUGAUGAAAACAUUUUCGUACCUCAAUCUAGUUCAUCUUUACAUGAAGUCUGAAAGAUGCAACACGAUGGUGAUAUCUUAGAUAACAAAAAUGAUGAAUACUUAAAUAGCCCAAAAUAUUGUCUACAUUGAAAACACAAGAGAAUUGUGGGAAGAUUUACGGGAAAGUUUAUCAAAAGGUGAUCAUUUUUAGAUUUCAGAUCUUUUGCAUGAGAUACAUUCCAUAAGGCAUGGGGAAUGCAGUGUUACUGAAUUCUUUACAUAAUUAAAAACCUUAUGGGAGGAGCUAGAAUCCUUAAGACCAACUCUGGAUUGUGUCUGCAAGAUUAAAUGCAGUUGUGCAUUGAUAAAAAUGUUGUGAAGCAUAGAGAAUCAAAAUACGUGUUGUGUUUUUUGAAGGGUUUGAAUGAUAACUAUGCUACUGUUAAGACACAAAUCUUACUCAUGGAGCCACUACCAAGUGUCAACUAUGCUUUUUCUCUUGUUAUUCAAUAGGAACGUCAAUUGAAUGGGAAUGCAAUGGUAAAUAGCAAAAUAUUAUUAAAUACUUUAUGUAGGGAAGGAAGUUGGAAAACACAUCAUAAUGAAGGAUGGAAAUCGCAUGGUAAAGGAAGAAAUCGAUACCAAAAUAAUAGUAAGCAAUGUACUUUCUGUCAUAAAUUGUAUCAUACAAUUGAUGAGUGUUACUCCAAACAUGAAUUUUCUCUGUGGUACAAAAGGAAAGAUGAAAAAAUAGAGAAGGUUGUCAACAACAGUGUCAUGGAGCUGACUAUUAUAAAUGAAGAAGUUGAUUAACCAGUCCUUGUCAAGAAGGAAGCCAUUUUACACAAGAAUAGGUACAUCAGAUUAUGAAGAUCACUUAAGAAGUGAAAAGUGAUUCUAUAUAGCAUAAGGUGAACAAUUUUGUUGGUGAAUCUUCAGAUGAUAAUGCUACAAAAGGUAAAAUGAAUGAACAUUCUUGGAUUUUGGAUAUAAGAGCAACAAAUCAUGUAACUUUUUCAAAAAAUAAUUUCAUUACUUUUUGAAUGAUAGAUUCUAUACGCAUUAAACUACCGAAUGGAUCAUUUGUCAUAGCUUAUCAUGAUGGAACUGUGAAAUUAUAUGAAAAUCUUCUUAUAUAUAAUGUUAUAUAUAUACCUGAUUUUUAGUUAAUCUGGUUUCAACACAAAAGAUUGUUAAAUCUUACAAUUGUAAAUUGAUUUUUUCUUUUGAGUUUUGUGAAAUUCAAGAUGUGGACUCAUUGAAGAUGAUUGGAUAUGCUAAACCAAGCGAAUUGUUGUAUUUGAUGGAACUUCCAAAACAAGAAGUCAUGCUAAACAUUACGGGAACAUCAACUGAUGAAAGAAAACCAGAAAAUGUGUGGCAUCUCAGACUCGGGCAUCCAUCUAACAAAUUUUUGCAGCAGAUUAGUAAUAGUUUUCCUUACAUUCAAUUCAAUGAACAUAAACCUAGUGAUGCUUGUCAUUAUGAUAAGCAACAUAAACUGUCAUUCACCCAUAAUAAUACUAAUGGAAAAAAUAUUUUUGACUUGAUUCAUGUGGAUAUUUGGCGACCUUUCAAUAUUGCUUCUAUGAAUGGACAUAGGUUUUUCUUAACAGUUAUUGAUGAUCACAGUAGGUUUACAUGAAUUUUUUUGAUGAAAACUAAAUUUGAGACAAGAGAAGCUCUAUAUAGAUUAAUUACCUUGAUUCAUAAUCAGUUUAAUGUUACUAUUAAAACCAUAUGAAGUGAUAAUGGAAGUGAAGUCUUAUGCACUAAUCUCUACAAUAGUCUAGGCAUCAUACAUUAAACAAGUUGCAUUGAAACUCCUCAAUAAAAUUAUGUUGUUGAAAGGAAGCAUUAACAUAUUUUAAAUGUGGCGUAGCUUACUUUUUUCAGUUUAAACUUCCUACUGUUUUUUGGUCUUUUGCUGUGAUUCGUGCUACAUAUUUGAUAAACAGAAUCCCUUCAGAAAUUAUAAAUAGAAAUACCCCGUAUCAGUUAGUCUACAGGCAACAACCAAACUUACAGAACUUAAGAGUUUUUGGUUCCUUAUGCUUUGCUUCUAGUAUACAAAGAGACAGGUCUAAACUUGAUCCAAGAGCUAUAAAGUGUGUGUUUCUCAAUUAUAAGGCUGGAAUUAAAGAUUUGUGAUUCUAGACAUACAUAAUAGAGAAAUAUUUGUGUAUAGAAAUGUGAAAGUCUUUGAGAAUUUUUAUCCUUAUUUUAGUAAUUACAAGCAUAAUCUUGAUGUAACAUCCUAAUUUUUACCCAUAUAUAAUGAAAUAAAAGUAAAACAAGCAAUAUCUAAUUACAAAUAACAUAUACUACUUUCUCAUAUGUGUAUCUCAAAAGAAAUAUCCCUAUUCAUAGGGAUUUAAUAUAUACAUCAAAAGUUUUAACAACAAAACAAAACAUUCAAAUAAAACUAUCUCAUCCUCCAGCUACUCACUAAGGAGCUCUAUUACCUGCAAUCUCAUCUGCUCCCGUGUAAAACACGAUCAUCACAGAUAAAGAAACAAACACAAACAAAUAACAGGGUAAGCUAUCUAUAUAAAAAGUUUUGAUAUAAUUCAAAUUUUAAAUUAAUAAGCAUAGUUCAUCAAUUCUCAUGCGAUUUCUCAAACCAUCAAGUGUCUAUUACAUUCAUAAAAUUCAUAUUUCAUAUGUCGGACUUCUACUGACUCAUAACACAUAGACUCUUGACUCUACUUCCGGAAGACUCGUGCGUUGACUUAGACUCAGAGAUCUGCACCUGUCAUACUAUCUCACUGUGAAAUCCACACAGUUAUGUGCAUAAAGAAUCUCAAUAUCAUAUCUCUCCUAGUAUGAGAGGGUUAACUCAUAUAACAGGUCAAGUUAGUUAUCUUUCAAAUAACUUACCCAUUCAUAUGAACCUCCUUCGACUCUCACCACCUGAAUAACUUCAUCUAUAUGAUUUCAUUAUCUUAGGAGAGUCAGGAUAUCUUCUUCUUCUAGACGAAUCCCUAGUCAAUGCACAUCCUAAACAAUCUUAACACGGUAUUUUCUUUCCUGAAAAUACUAUGUUUUGAUUAAAAAAUAUAUUCUAAACAUUAAAAUCUCCAACAUCAAACAAUCAAGUCAUUCCAUAAUUUAGAAUUUCCAAAACACACAACAAUUCAUUCACUAAUCAUAUAAAUGUCUUGAAUCAAAAGGAUUCCAAAGUGUAUCUAAAUAACAUCAAGUUUUACUAUCCAAAAAGAGAGACAAUAAAAAGAGAAUGAAAUAAAAUUAUCUUUCAACUACAACUAUAUCCAACAGUAUUUAAUAAAAGGAUGAGGAAGCCAUAACAUGAAAAUUAAAGUUUGAUCACCAAUUGUUAAACCCAACAACUAACUUAUCUUAAAAACACCAGAAUUCAGAUUACAACCAACAUAGGUCUCAAAAUAAUCAACUCAUAAUUUACUUUAAAAAUUGUCACCAACAAUUUUAGUUCAUAAACUAAAUCAUCAGGAAAUAUUCAAAAUAUAUGCUCUGAAAUUGUCAAGAAAAAAAAUCAUCACAAACCUUAUUGAAAUACAUUCAGUAAUUCAUUCAAUUCCAAACUUAUAUACAUUCUACACCAUCUACUAUAUCUAAAUGUUACAUUUCAAUCUCAAACAGUUUCUAAUCUAUACCAAACAAGAGAUCCUGCAAGAAAAUUUUGAAACUGGUGACCACGUCACCCCCACAUCCAAAUCUUCUAGCCUAUGGUUCGAUUGACAAUUUAAAAAUAUAGCUUCCCUUACCUGAACUGUAACCUAUGCUCACUAGGAGCUCCAAAUCUACCAAAAGCCUAAAGGUAAUUAACCUACACCACAGAGUCCUAAUCAAAAUCUAACUAUAUAACUAGGACCUUGAGUUAACAGAGAUUAACUCGUACAAAAUCUAAAACUAACUCGUACAAAAUCUAAUAAGAUCAAAAUUAACUCAAAAGAAAAAGGGGCCAAGAAGGAACUUACUCUAUCUGAGAUUUUGAUCCAACAAACUUAUAGGGUUCAAUACCAGGAGUCCAACGGCAGACUCUGAUCACGAGCGAGUAAGUCAGAAUCUUCAAGAAAAGGGAGAGAAAAGAAAAAAAGAGGAACAAAACUUACUCUAUAAGUGAUGAGAAUCAAAUAAAGGAGGCUUUUAUUAAUGGAGGAAGAGGACAUCCACCUUCACAUUUGAAGUUCUCUCAAAAUUAAAAGAAGACAUAAAAUAAAAGAUGAGGCCCAAGCCCAAAGCCCAAGCCCAAGAAGCCCAAAGCCCAAAGAGCCCAAGUCCAUCCCAUGAGGGGCAAGGCCAAGCUUUGAAAUACUCUUGUAUAGUUUUAGGAGGUGUGGUUAUUAAAUAAAGGAGUGUGAAAAUGUAAAAUAAAGUCACAUUGUCCAUGUGACUUAGGAGAGUGAUGUAGGUGUAGUUUUUAGGAGGUGUCAUAGUAGAAAAAGGUCACACCUCCCAUGUGACUUGUUUUUGGUGGGAAUUUCAAAUGAGUUUAUUUAAAAUUUCCCACCUAUUUUUCAGCACCUCUAGGCUAUAAAUAAAGGUGUUUAGCUUGUACAAUUCAGAAUUGAAAUGAGAGUAAAGAAACUAUACUCAAUUUUUGAGUGAGCAUUGGAGAGCUUUUGAGCCUUCUUCUCUAGUCUUAUCUUGAAGGAUCCAUGGUGUCCUCAAGUGGCGGCAGCACACUCAUCUAGGAGCAACCAUCCUUCUAGUGGCGUGAUCACUCACCUACUCUUCCAUCUCCAUAAGCUUUUCUCUUCUCCUUCCUUCCUACUCUUUCAAUUGUUCAUGUUUAGCUUGUGUUCUUGAGUUUUGGUUUGGUUAUCUUUCAUUUUCCAGCAGCUGUUCUUAUUCUUUUCUAUUUUGGUUUGGUGCAUUUUAAUUUCCAGCACUUCUAAUUCAGUUUGCUUAUCUUUUGUUCCAUUUUGUUCGGUUCAAUUUGACUAUAAUUGGAACUUCCAUAUGAGUUUGGAAUUGGUGCUAGUUUUGGAGAGUUCUUGACUUAGAACAAUGAUCCAAUUCUAAGAAAAAGUGCCUAACUAUUGUCCAACUCAAGUUGAUUCCUAAGAAGGUCAAGAACCUUUCUCUAUGUGGCUAUUGGAAUCACAUCAAUAAGAGAUUCUGAUCGGGCAGUCUUGUAGAUCUCGCUGCCAGGAGUCUAAUGGUGGACUCCGAUCGUCAAACAGAUGAUCGAGGAGGUCAGAAUCUUAGAGAGAAGGAAGAGGAAAGGAAAAUGAACUUUUAGAGAGAUGGUGGUUCUUUUAAAAUGAAACCUGAAUAACUAAUUUUCUAUUUAUAUAGCUUUUUCAAUUUAAUAAUAAAAUAUUUGGGUGUCAUUUUAAUUGUACCAUUUCAACUCUAAGACUAUUUUUCUCGGUCCUUACACUUGAUACUAAUAACAAUCAACAGUUUGAUGUUUUUGACUAUUCUUUUGAAUGAUAGUUCUUAAACUAGAGAAAUUUAUAAUCAACAUAAUCAUGUUGAAGAUGAAAGGGAAAAUGUUAGAAGCUUGGUUAGGCAUAGGAAAGCUCCUAGUUACUUACAGAAUUACCACUAUCAACUGUCUAACCAUAUUGAUAUUGAAAAUCUUAAGAACACAAAUAAAAAAGGCUUAUCCCAUAUCUGAAUAUCUUAAUUACAAAAAUCUGACCUCAAAACAUCAUUAAUAUACCCUGGCUAUGUCAUCUAAUCAAGAGCCUCAAAGUUUCAAUGAAGUCAUCAUAAAACUAGAAUAGUGUGAUGCCAUGAUGAAAGAAAUAUAAGCUUUGGAACAUAACAAAACAUGGAAACUAAUUGAAAUUCAGCAUGGAAAGAAAUCCAUUGGAUGUAAUUGGGUUUAUAAAAUAAAAUACAAUGACAAAGAAGACAUAGAACGUUAUAAGGAAAAACUUGUUGUCAAGGGUUAUACUCAGUUAAAGGGAGUUGAUUAUUUAGAUACUUUUCUUUAGUUGCUAAACUAACCAUUGUAAGAAUUUUCUUAGCUAUGACAGUCACCAUAACUGGUAUUUAAAGUAAUUGAAUGUUAAUAAUGUUUUCCUUCAUGAAGAACUCAACGAAAAAGUUUAUAUGCUAUCACCUUCAGAUAUCAAAGUUAAAGCUUGAUAGGUUUGGAAACUUACCACUAGAGUGAAUCAAGUGAAAACAAAUAAAAGAAGGUGUCAAGUCUUUCGGAACCGAGACAACUACAUUAGAAGAAUUAAUACGGUACACUUUUUAUUAAAGUAAAAUAUUUCAAUUGAUUGCACUAAAAUAUUAAAAUAUCUUUUAGGUAUUGUUUUAAUAUUAAAAUAUUGAAACAAAUAUUAUUUUGUUAGCAUUAUUUAUAUUCGUUAUUAAUCUUAAUUUUAUUUAGUUUACGAGUGUUAGAAGACUGUAAUACAAAUAUAUAUUAAAAAAUUUAAUCGAAAUUUUUAUUAUGAUUUAAAUAUAUUUAAGAUAUUUUAAAUAUUUAAUAUAAAAAUUUUACUAUUAUUAAGAGAUAAUUCUUUUUUCAAUCUUCCAAAUUUUAAGAUUAUUUUAAUUUUAAUUUGAAAGUAGUUUCUGAAAUUAACAAAAAUAUUUGAAAAUAUUUUUUUGCUAAAUAUUAAAUAAGAAGGUGUAAUAAAACAAUAGCUUUCUCUCGUCUUCUGCGAUUUCUAGAAAAUACUAAAAAAAAAACAAAACAAGCGAAAAUUAUGACCACGGUUUCAAGGUCUCUUAUUCUGCUUUGACUAAUGCAAAGAAAAUUCUCAAACAAAGAACAAACAACUAUUCUCCGCGUCUUAUCAACCUAUAAAUACCACAACUUCAAUCUUCAUUAACACAUCUAAACAGAGUUCAAAACAAACAUCUUAGUACCCACUCUUCUCUCUUUGCUGUCUUUAAGAUCACCAACAUAUUCUAACAAAGGUUUUUCUAAAACCUGCUUCUGAGUCUGACCUCUUUCUUCAUUCCAAUUUUGCAUCUCGCUAUGUUAGGGACUCACUUCCCAGGUAUAUAUCAUUGAAUAUCAUUAUUAUCAAUAUUACAUCUUUGACUUCCUUAUGUAUGCUCUUUACUUUGAUUUUCUUUCUGGGGAAGGUACCCGAUGAAGUGAUGUUUUGGUGAUGCAGGUUCAGCAUGCCCGAGCACUCCAUGCCUAAGGAAGCUGCCUACCAGAACAUACACGAUGAGUUGCAACUUGAUGCCAUUCCAAAACUUAACUUGGCUUCCUUUGUCACCACUUCCAUGGAGGAAGAGUGCAAUAAACUCAUCAUGGAAUCCAUCAACAAGAACUAUGUUGACAUGGACGAGUAUCCUAUCACCACAGACCUUCACGUACCUUCUCAUACUCAAACUAAUUUCUUUUCCAAUAUUUUCUAUAUGCUGGAUAUCAGAUACAUAUUACAUAUUUUUGGUUUUUGACCACCCUCAAUAGUUUGUUUACUUCUCUCUUGUGUUGUAUCUCUAAUGGAAACAGAACCGGUGCCUGAUGAUUGCACGAUUGUUCCAUGCUGAAAUUGAAGAAAAUGAGAAUGCAGUUGGAGCAGGAACGGUGGGAUCAUCAGAGGCCAUAAUGCUAGCAGGACUUGCAUUCAAGAAGAAGUGGCAGAACAAGCGCAAGGCAGAGGGAAAGUCAUAUGAUAAGCCAAACUUGGUCACUGGUUCCAAUGUGCCAGUAUGUUGGGAGAAAUUUGCAAGGUAUUUUGAGGUGGAGUUGAGGGAAGUGGAGGUGAGAGAAGGCUACUACGUGAUGGAUCCAGCGAAAGCCGUUGAGCUGGUUGAUGAGAACACUAUUUGUGUUGCUGCCAUCUUGGGCUCAACUUACAAUGGAGAGUUUGAAGAUGUGAAGCUCUUAAACGACUUGCUGCUACAAAGAAUAAGCAAACUGGGUAAGUAAUGUUCCACUAAUUUCCUCUGGUUUCCAAAUAAAAGUGUUACUAAUUUGGUAUAGUUGUGUUGUGAUAUUACAGAUGGGAAACAGGUAUUCAUGUGGACGGUGCUAGUGGUGGUUUCAUUGCUCCUUUCCUUUAUCCAGAGUUGGAGUGGGAUUUCAGACUGGAAUUAGUGAAGAGCAUAAAUGUGAGUGGGCACAAGUAUGGGCUUGUUUAUGCUGGUAUUGGUUGGGUUAUUUGGAGGAACAAGGAGGAGUUGCCCCAAGACCUUAUCUUCCAUAUCAAUUACCUUGGAGCUCAUCAGCCCACCUUCACCCUCAAUUUCUCUAAAGGUCUUUCUCUUCAAACCAUGUCUAUUCCUUCCACACCUUCAUUACAUAAUCAUACCAUAUACUUACCUUCUCAUCUUCACUUUCAGGUUCUAGUCAGAUCAUUGCUCAAUAUUAUCAGCUAAUUCGUCUUGGCCAAGAGGUUAGCUCCUAUAGUUCACUAUUUCAAUUAUAGUUUAUGCCCCUCUCCUCAAUUCUAUUAUGUUACCACAAUUCCCUUACCUUGGACUUGGCAGGGUUACCGAAGCAUAAUGGAGAACUGCAGAGAAAAUGCAAAGGUGGUGAAAGAAAAUUUGGAGAAGAGUGGACGCUUUAACAUAGUUUCAAAAGACAAUGGUGUUCCUGUGGUGGCAUUUUCUCUGAAAGACCGAAGGCAGUACGAUGAGUACAAGAUAUCAGAGAUGCUGCGGCGCCAUGGUUGGAUUGUUCCAGCCUAUCCAAUGCCACCUGCUGCUCAGCACAUAAAUGUACUCCGUGUGGUCAUAAGGGCUGAGUUUUCACGCACCCUUGCUCAACGCCUUGCGUUUGACAUACACAAUGUGCUGCAUGAGCUUGAAAAGGUGCAUGCCCCCAUAAUGACCAAUAACACUGAGGAAGUGAACAAGGGCUUGGUUGAAACUGGUGUAAAGAAAACUGCAAUGGAUGCUCAAAGUGAAAUCAUUUCUGAAGAAUCCAACAAGCGUCAGAAAAUCAUGGCUGCCUAACUAGGGAGAUCGAUUUCACUAUGCCAACUAAAUAAGCAGCCUCUAUUUGUUUAAACUCCAUUCAUGAUCCACCUGUAUUUCAUUUAUUUUCUUUCUGAAAAUGUUAGGCUUAUCAUUGUUGGUUGGAAAAGAUUUCUUUAACACCCAAAAAUAAAACACAUAUACUUCACAACCCUGUAGUUCAGUAUAAAGUAGUUUUUUUUUUUAAAUAUGCACCUCGCGUUAUUGUUGUUCUAAAAGUUGUUAUUAUUAGAGCUUUUUCUUAUGUUUAUACUUAGUAGUCCUAUCACUUAUUUAUACUUUAAUUUUAAAAUAUGAAAUAAUAUUUUAAAUGCUAGCCAACUACAUAGAAAGUUUUGUCCUAGAAGCUAUAACUUUAAUGGGUGGUACCCAUUAAAAUACUUUAAGAUAAUAUAAAGUAUAAGCUUAUGAAUCAGAAGAAAGAAAUAUUUUUCUAUAUUAAAUAUAUCGAUAGCUAAAUACAAUAUUAAUCGAAGUGUGAGUCUUAUAAUAUUGGUUCAUUGGAUUAAAAAAAAGCAAGAAAUUCUUAAAAGUAAACAAUAAAACAUGAAAAAGAGAGUAAAUUAAAACAUCAUAAAAGGACUCUUACCAUAUAGAUGACUUUUGAGUAAUUAUUUAGGUACUCGUCUAAAUAUUCUAUCUAAAUAACAUGUUUUUAUAUCCACUUUUACUAGGAUAAUCAAACUUAUGACAAAUAUCAAUUAUAUAUGAGUUAGCAUGUUUACUUAUAUAUUGGAAAAAUUUGGAAGCAUAGGAAUAAUAUUUUCUUUUAGAAUGCUAGAGUUGAAUACAUUGAGAUAUUUACGAUGACACAACUUAAAAGCUUUGUUUUGACUAACAUCGAAGGAAUGCGAAUCAAAAUUUAUAUAUGCAAAAUGGUGUUUAACUUUUCUUUAUUGAUAAGAUCAUCAUUUAAAAAAUUUCUUUUCAACAAAAUUUCAAGGUCUAUCAUGCAAAAAUAUGUGACUUUUCCAUAGGCACAACAUAACAUAAAACAUCAUCCUUACACUUUCCACUAAAAAGCCUAUGAGGACUUUCUUGUUGACUAGUAUUUCACCAUCCAUCAUUGCACCUUAUAUGGUUUAGCAUAAGAAUAAUAGAGAAACCAAGCUUUUCUAUUAUCCUUGUGUUUGUCACAUUAAAGCAACUUCUUUGAUGAAUAAUAAAGGAACACAAUUUGUCAUUAAUUAGACAUCCAAUAAGAAGAACUAGUAUUGAAGCUAUGAUUAAUAUAUUUGAUGAAUCCAACUAUGCAUAUGCGGAUAAGUUGGUUAAUUUAGGAUUCAUUCAUAGAGAAUCAUUUCAUUGGUAUAAUAGACUUCCAUCUAGUCUGUUAUUAGAAUUCUUUAUGAAUAGGUAUAGUCUACCUAUGUAUCGUUUUUGUUAACAUGUGAGUUUUGGUCUAGUCCCCCCAUAUUUUUGUAUUUUCUUUCUUUUUCUUUUUUAAUAAUAAUAUUUUUUUUAUGUGAUGACAGAUGAUUGUUGUUACUUGAGGUGUCAGUCUAGCUGAGAUGUCAAGUUGUAUAGUAAUGUCUAACAUAAAAACUUUUAUAAAAAAAAAAAAAUCCAACUAUUUACAUAAAGAUUUUAAAGAUUCGUGGAGACAUAUAUUUUAGGUUCUUUUGUAUUGAUUCAAACAUUAAUUUAUUAUUCAUCUGCAACUUGUAUAAAGAACAGUUCUAGCAUUUUUGUUUUAAUCUAUUAACACAUGUUUUAAAAAAUAUAAAAGCAUAACUUUCUUCUUCAAUAUAACUCUCUCACUUCAAAACCAAUUAACCUGAAAGCAAAACCAAUCUUUCUGAAAUCAUUUUUAUUCUCUUCUUAUUGUUUUCUUUCGAGUUUCAUACCUUCUGUUGGAGAUCCCACAUCAACUAGAGAUAAGGACCUUUCAUUGUAUAUAAGUGGGUGCAAACCUCACCUUAUUGAGCUGGUUUUAUGGGGUUGAGUUAAGCUUAAAGUUCACUCUUUCGUAACAUCUUCUUUCAUCAAUGCUUUAACUUCAACAUUAUUUGACAUUGUACCUAAAAUUUAAAGAAAAAAUAAAAAAACUAACCAAUUAUAAAUUUAACAAGUUAGAACAAAAUGAAAUAUUUGCCUCACAUAUGUAUGUCUCUUGAUCUUGAUGUAAAAUUAAGCUAAGGUGCUGGAAUUUUAAUCACACUCUUACAAGAAUGAUUAAUACUUAAAGUUCUACUACUUGAACGUCAAAUAAAGUAGGACAAAUUUUAUCACCUAAUCCUAAUGAAUCUGAAUGGUUAAUUUAAAUUAAAAAGGAAUACUAACACUAAUAUAGUAAAUUAUUUCACUUAUUCUUAGAAUAAAUGGAUUUCUCUCUUUAUGUUUAUAUAUAUAUAAUUUUAAUAAAAAAAUUAUUUAUUUUAGUAAUGGUGAUACAACUUCAACUUCUUCAUUUUUUUUAAAUUCUUUUAAUUCUUAAUUUCAACUUAUCAAAAUAUUUAAAGAGAUAAUUUUAAUUUCAUUUUUCAAAAUUAUUAAACUAUUCUUUAAAUUAUUAAAUGUUUCUGACAAAUCUUCCACCAAAACGUUGUCGAUUGGAUAUGUUAUGUUGUUAACCACAUUUGAUGUUCAUAUUAUCAAAAAGUCAAAACUUAGUUUUGAAGGAUAUGAAGGUUGAUCUUUUUACCUCCUGCUGAAUAUUUCUUAGUUAAGGGGCUACGUGCUUAAACAAAAAUGUUCAAAUUCAAUUUUUUACACUUGUUUAUCAAAAUCAAUCAAAAAAUUCAAUAUACAAGUAGCCACACUUUUCUUCUUCAUGGUCAAAUUUGUAUGCAUUCUGGCACACUCAACACAUGUUUCGCUAAAAAAAAUUAUGUUUUUAUUUAAUUUAAUUAAAUAUUUUAUUUGUACUAGAUAGUUUAAAACUAAUUUUAUAUAUAAAAAUUUAAAACAAACAAACUGUGAGUUGCUUUUGUUUAAGAUUAAUUCAUACAAUUCAAACUUAUCAAAAUCAAUUCUGUUAAAGAUUUAAAAGAAUUAAUUUGUUAAACAAUUUAUAUAUAUAUAUAUAUAUGUAUAUAUAUCAUUAUACAGAAUAUCCAUUAAUUUUACUAGUUAAUGACUAGUUUUUUAUUGUACUUUUCUUUUAUAUAUAAGACAUCAAUUGAAACUUCGUUAUCAUUCUUUGCGAUUAUAUUUGACUCACGCUAUUGCAUUCCAUUUAUACAUUUGUUUUUAAAAUUUUAACGUCUCCUACUUCAUGCACAUAUAACCGAUGUUUAGGUGUCAAAUUUUUUUUGUCUCUUUUUCAUAUAUUUUUUGUCGACAUUAAUUCACACUUUUCGUAUUGUUGGUUUAAAAAAUAUAUAAUUUAACAUCAUUGAAACGGAUAAUUUUGUAUUUUUAGAAAAAAUAGAUAACUUAUUAUUGUUGAUAAAAAAAAAUCAUUAUGACCAAGAACAAUAGGAUCUCCAAAACAAAACAAAACAAAAAAGAAUUUAUUGAUUGAGCCACUUCUUUUGACAUGGUUGUUAAUUAAUAUGGUUACAAAUAAAGCAACACUGACAAUUUGGCAACAGGGUUGAAAUUAAAAAGCUGAACAUUGGUCAUUUGAAGUAAAUCUGGCGAAUAAAUGAGAAUUUUCUUUUACUUGAAUAUAUGACGGCUGGAGUAUAAGAAAAUGAAAUAAUGAAACUAAAAUAAAUAAAUAAAUCAUGAAAAAAAAAUCAAGUAAAUGGUUUUUAAAAAAUAAAUACAUAAAUUAAUUUUAAGUUGUGAAAUUUUUUAUUUUUUUUAGUUUAGUCCCUAUUUUAUCUUUAAAUAAAUUCUUGUUAAAUAAUUUACGCAAACGGACUCCUAAUUAAUUAUAAUUUCCACUAAUUAUAAUGCGAUAGCUAGCUAGCUAGCUUAGUGUGAUAUCAGUUUCUAUUGGGACGACGCCAGUCCCAUAAGGGAUUCUAAAGACGGCAAAAAAAGUUGUUUCACGAACUACGUAUAUGACAUAAGUGAUUCUAAAUAAUCACAUUCUUUCGCUAUCUCCUCUUUCUACAAAAUUAAAUUGUUCAGAAAAGAGCUAAAGUUGUGAAGGCAGUUUCAAGUCCUCUGCCUUGUGUUGUACGUACUUAAUUAAUGCAUGGAAAAGUAAUUCGCAAGCCAUUAAUGAUUCUCACGUUUUUACAACCUAUAAAUAUACCACAACUUUGUUCUCAUUCAACACUUCCAAACAAACCUCAUCAUCAACUUAUUAGUCUUUUUUGUCUCUAAGUAAGAUCUGUAACAUUAUUAUACUACUUUUAUCAAACACUUCACCAUGGUUUUUCCAAGACCUCCUUCUGAGUCUGACCUCUUUCUUCAUUCCAACUUUGCUUCUCGCUAUGCAAGAGACUCUCUUCCUAGGUAUAAUAAGCAGUUUCCAUUUUCUUUUUUCUUUUUCUUCAUGGCUCGUCUUCAUUGAAUACCAUUAUUAUCUUUGACUUCAAUGUACUAUUUGAUCAUGAUUUUCUGUCUGGGUGGUACUUGAUGAAGUGUUGUUUUGGUGGUGCAGGUUCAGCAUGCCUGAGGACUCCAUGCCUAAGGAGGCUGCCUACCAGAACAUACACGAUGAGUUGCAACUUGAUGCCAUUCCAAUGCUUAACUUGGCUUCCUUUGUCACCACUUCCAUGGAGGAAGAGUGCAACAAACUCAUCAUGGAAUCCAUCAACAAGAACUAUGUUGACAUGGAUGAGUAUCCUAUCACCACAGACCUUCACGUACCUUCUCAUACUCAAGCUAAUUUCUUUUCCAAUAUUUUCUAUAUGUUGGAUAUCAGAUACAUAUUACAUAUUUUUGGUUUUUGACCACCCUCAAUAAUUUUUCUACUCUCUUGUGUUGUAUCUCUAAUGGAAACAGAACCGGUGCCUGAACAUGAUAGCACGUUUGUUCCAUGCUGAAAUUGGAGAAAAUGAGAAUGCAGUUGGAGCAGGAACGGUGGGAUCAUCAGAGGCCAUAAUGCUAGCAGGACUUGCAUUCAAGAAGAAGUGGCAGAACAAGCGCAAGGCAGAGGGAAAGUCUUAUGAUAAGCCAAACUUGGUCACUGGUUCCAAUGUGCAAGUAUGUUGGGAGAAAUUUGCAAGGUAUUUUGAGGUGGAGUUGAGGGAAGUGGAGGUGAGAGAAGGCUACUACGUGAUGGAUCCAGCGAAAGCCGUUGAGCUGGUUGAUGAGAACACUAUUUGUGUGGCUGCCAUCUUGGGCUCAACUUACAAUGGAGAGUUUGAAGAUGUGAAGCUCUUAAACGACUUGCUGCUACAAAAGAAUAAGCAAACUGGGUAAGCAAUGUUCCACUAUGUACCUCUGGUCUCCAAAUAAAAGUGUUUCUAAUUUGGUAAAGUUGUGUUGUGAUAUUACAGAUGGGAAACAGGUAUUCAUGUGGAUGGUGCUAGUGGUGGUUUCAUUGCUCCUUUCCUUUAUCCAGAGCUUGAAUGGGAUUUCAGACUGGAAUUGGUGAAGAGCAUAAAUGUGAGUGGACACAAGUAUGGGCUUGUUUAUGCUGGUAUUGGUUGGGUUAUUUGGAGGAACAAGGAGGAGUUGCCCCAAGACCUUAUCUUCCAUAUCAAUUACCUUGGAGCUCACCAACCCACCUUCACCCUCAAUUUCUCUAAAGGUCUUUCUUUUCAAACUACGUCUAUUCCUUCAACACCUUCAUUACCUAAUCAUACCAUAUACUUACCUUCUCAUCUUCACUUGCAGGUUCUAGUCAGAUCAUUGCUCAAUAUUAUCAGCUAAUUCGUCUUGGCCAAGAGGU